CAGUAGCCGCGGUAAUACGUAGGUCCCGAGCGUUGUCCGGAUUUAUUUGGCGUAAAGCGAGCGCAGGCGGUUAGAUAAGUCUGAAGUUAAAGGCUGUGGCUUAACCAUAGUACGCUUUGGAAACUGUUUAACUUGAGUGCAAGAGGGGAGAGUGGAAUUCCAUGUGUAGCGGUGAAAUGCGUAGAUAUAUGGAGGAACACCGGUGGCGAAAGCGGCUCUCUGGCUUGUAACUGACGCUGAGGCUCGAAAGCGUGGGGAGCAAACAGGAUUAGAUACCCGUGUAGUCCCUGUCUCUUAUACA
rnacentral:rRNA from 1 species